AGUGAACGCUGGCGGUAGGCCUAACACAUGCAAGUCGAACGGCAGCACAGUAAGAGCUUGCUCUUACGGGUGGCGAGUGGCGGACGGGUGAGGAAUACAUCGGAAUCUACUUUUUCGUGGGGGAUAACGUAGGGAAACUUACGCUAAUACCGCAUACGACCUACGGGUGAAAGCAGGGGAUCUUCGGACCUUGCGCGAUUGAAUGAGCCGAUGUCGGAUUAGCUAGUUGGCGGGGUAAAGGCCCACCAAGGCGACGAUCCGUAGCUGGUCUGAGAGGAUGAUCAGCCACACUGGAACUGAGACACGGUCAAGACUCCUACGGGAGGCAGCAGUGGGGAAUAUUAGACAAUGGGCGCAAGCCUGAUCCAGCCAUACCGCGUGGGUGAAGAAGGCCUUCGGGUUGUAAAGCCCUUUUGUUGGGAAAGAAAAGCAGCAGGUUAAUACCCCGCUGUUCUGACGGUACCCAAAGAAUAAGCACCGGCUAACUUCGUG
rnacentral:rRNA from 1 species